rnacentral:rRNA from 1 species
UACGGAGGGAGCUAGCGUUGUUCGGAAUCACUGGGCGUAAAGCGCACGUAGGCGGCUACUCAAGUCGGGGGUGAAAGCCCGGGGCUCAACCCCGGAACUGCCCUCGAAACUAGGCAGCUAGAAUCUUGGAGAGGCGGGUGGAAUUCCGAGUGUAGAGGUGAAAUUCGUAGAUAUUCGGAAGAACACCAGUGGCGAAGGCGACUCGCUGGACAAGUAUUGACGCUGAGGUGCGAAAGCGUGGGGAGCAAACAGG